rnacentral:rRNA from 1 species
UACGGGGGGGGCAAGCGUUGUUCGGAAUUACUGGGCGUAAAGGGCUCGUAGGCGGCCAACUAAGUCAGACGUGAAAUCCCUCGGCUUAACCGGGGAACUGCGUCUGAUACUGGAUGGCUAGAGAUUGGGAGAGGGAUGCGGAAUUCCAGGUGUAGCGGUGAAAUGCGUAGAUAUCUGGAGGAACACCGGUGGCGAAGGCGGCAUCCUGGACCAACACUGACGCUGAGUGAGCGAAAGCCAGGGGAGCAA